CCCUUAGAUGUUCUGGGCCGCACGCGCGCUACACUGAUGCAUUCAACGAGUUUCUUCCUGGUCCGAGAGGAAUGAGUAACCUUUUGAAAGUGCAUCGUGAUAGGGAUAGACUAUUGCAAUUAUUGGUCUUCAACGAGGAAUUCCUAGUAGACGUAGUUCAUCAGACUGCAUCGAUUACGUCCCUGCCCUUUGUACACACCGCCCGUCGCUCCUACCGAUGAAUCGUCCGGUGAAGUUCAUGGAGUGGUGGUUGUUCCAGCUGCUGUCGAAGUGAAAUGGACCUCGCGAUUUAGAGGAAGGAGAAGUCGUAACA
rnacentral:rRNA from 1 species